GACGAACGCUGGCGGCGUGCUUAACACAUGCAAGUCGAACGGAAAGGCCCUGCUUUUGUGGGGUGCUCGAGUGGCGAACGGGUGAGUAACACGUGAGUAACCUGCCCUUGACUUUGGGAUAACUUCAGGAAACUUGGUCUAAUACCGGAUAGGAGCUCCUGCUGCAUGGUUGGGGUUGGAAAGUUUCGGCGGUUGGGGAUGGGCUCGCGGUUUAUCAGUUUGUUGGUGGGGUGGUGGCUUACCAAGGCUUUGACGGGUAGCCGGCCUGAGAGGGUGACCGGGCAAAAUGGGACUGAGAAAAGGCCCAGACUCCUACGGGAGGCAGCAGUGGGGAAUAUUGCACAAUGGGCGGAAGCCUGAUGCAGCAACGCCGCGUGCGGGAUGACGGCCUUCGGGUUGUAAACCGCUUUCGCCUGUGACGAAGCGUGAGUGACGGUAAUGGGUAAAGAAGCACCGGCUAACUACGUG
rnacentral:rRNA from 1 species